GACGAACGCUGGCGGCGUGCCUAAUACAUGCAAGUAGAACGCUGAAGGAGGAGCUUGCUUCUCUGGAUGAGUUGCGAACGGGUGAGUAACGCGUAGGUAACCUGCCUGGUAGCGGGGGAUAACUAUUGGAAACGAUAGCUAAUACCGCAUAAUAGUAGAUGUUGCAUGACAUUUGCUUAAAAGGUGCAAUUGCAUCACUACCAGAUGGACCUGCGUUGUAUUAGCUAGUUGGUGGGGUAACGGCUCACCAAGGCGACGAUACAUAGCCGACCUGAGAGGGUGAUCGGCCACACUGGGACUGAGACAAGGCCCAGACUCCUACGGGAGGCAGCAGUAGGGAAUCUUCGGCCAUGGACGGAAGUCUGAACGAGCAACGCCGCGUGAGUGAAGAAGGGUUUCGGAUCGUAAAGCUCUGUUGUAAGAGAAGAAAGAGUGUGAGAGUGGAAAGUUCACAAUGUGACGGUAUCUUACCAGAAAGGGACGGCUAACUACGUG
rnacentral:rRNA from 1 species